rnacentral:sRNA from 1 species
UGAUUUUUUUCAAAAUUGCCUGAUUCUUACAAAGACUGGUUAUUUCAGAUUUUAAAGUGCCAGUCUUUGUAAGAAUCAGGCAAUUUUGAAAAAAAUCA